CAUUACUGAGUUUACGCUCUACAACCCUUUGUGAACAUACCUAUAACUGUUGCUUCGGCGGGUAGGGUCUCCGCGACCCUCCCGGCCUCCCGCCUCCGGGCGGGUCGGCGCCCGCCGGAGGAUAACCAAACUCUGAUUUAACGACGUUUCUUCUGAGUGGUACAAGCAAAUAAUCAAAACUUUUAACAACGGAUCUCUUGGUUCUGGCAUCGAUGAAGAACGCAGCGAAAUGCGAUAAGUAAUGUGAAUUGCAGAAUUCAGUGAAUCAUCGAAUCUUUGAACGCACAUUGCGCCCGCCAGCAUUCUGGCGGGCAUGCCUGUUCGAGCGUCAUUUCAACCCUCAAGCUCUGCUUGGUGUUGGGGCCCUACAGCUGAUGUAGGCCCUCAAAGGUAGUGGCGGACCCUCUCGGAGCCUCCUUUGCGUAGUAACUUUACGUCUCGCACUGGGAUCCGGAGGGACUCUUGCCGUAAAACCCCCAAUUUUCCAAAGGUUGACCUCGGAUCAGGUAG
rnacentral:rRNA from 1 species